GCCUGGAGGCCAGGGGACUUGCACACAGAGGGAGGGCAGAGGGGCUGCACCACCAGACAAGUCCCCAGGCUGCCGACGGCCUCUGCUGCCUCCCCACCCUGACCCUGCUCCCCACCCAGGCCCACCAGCCUCGCUUUCUUCAGCUGCACGGGGGACUCUGUCUCACCCGGGGGCUCGCCGGGCCUGCCCUCCAGGGCCUCACCGCAGCCAAGUGGGGCUGGGCCAUCACAGGCCUGGAGAAGGCAGGAGGCCGGGGCUCCUGGCUACUGGCCCUUGGCAGCCUCUCGGCCUCCUGCUUGGAGUGCCCUCGUCAUCUGCCUGGAAUUCCAGUGGAAGAACCUGCUCUCGCAGGUUGUCCUGCAGCUCCCAGCCCCCGCUUGGUGGUUUGUGGGUGUGGGGGCCCCCACCUUCUGCUGGCUCAGCCCCCUCCUCUCCUGCCUGGUGGUGGCGGGUGGGGCGGGGGGAGGGAAGGUGCCCGUGAACAGAGUCCUUUCUCCAGGGUGAAAAGGAGCCCCAGGACCCUGCCCCCAAGGCUGGCCGUCCAGGGAACCCUGGCCGACAACACCUGUCACCCAGGCAUGCUCAGCUUGGAAUCAGGUGCAACACAACUCCCGAGGAAUGAGUUCCUGGAAAAAUCCGGAGCAGAGAAGCUUUGGACAGUGUGUGUUUCUUUGUUGGUAAAUAAUCUCCACUAAGCGAGCUUGGCAGCCCUGCGGGCGCACCCGGGACAGGUGCUCUGGGCCUGGGCCUGUCCUCCGCACAAGAGCUGGACUCUAACCCUCCGCCCCACUGGGACCCAUGGAGGUGGAGGGGCG
rnacentral:lncRNA from 1 species